rnacentral:rRNA from 1 species
GGGUUGUGAGGUUAAGCGACUAAGCGUACACGGUGGAUGCCCUGGCAGUCAGAGGCGAUGAAGGACGUGCUAAUCUGCGAAAAGCGUCGGUAAGGUGAUAUGAACCGUUAUAACCGGCGAUGUCCGAAUGGGGAAACCCAGUGCAAUUCGUUGCACUAUCGUUAACUGAAUACAUAGGUUAACGAGGCGAACCGGGGGAACUGAAACAUCUAAGUACCCCGAGGAAAAGAAAUCAACCGAGAUUCCCCCAGUAGCGGCGAGCGAACGGGGAGCAGCCCAGAGUCUGAAUCAGCUUGUGUGUUAGUGGAACGGUCUGGAAAGUCCGACGGUACAGGGUGAUAGUCCCGUACACCAAAAUGCACAGGCUGUGAACUCGAAGAGUAGGGCGGGACACGUGGUAUCCUGUCUGAAUAUGGGGGGACCAUCCUCCAAGGCUAAAUACUCCUGACUGACCGAUAGUGAACCAGUACCGUGAGGGAAAGGCGAAAAGAACCCCGGCGAGGGGAGUGAAAAAGAACCUGAAACCGUGUACGUACAAGCAGUGGGAGCACCUUCGGGUGUGACUGCGUACCUUUUGUAUAAUGGGUCAGCGACUUAUAUUCUGUAGCAAGGUUAACCGUAUAGGGGAGCCGCAGGGAAACCGAGUCUUAACUGGGCGUUAAGUUGCAGGGUAUAGACCCGAAACCCGGUGAUCUAGCCAUGGGCAGGUUGAAGGUUGGGUAACACUAACUGGAGGACCGAACCGACUAAUUGAAAAAUUAGCGGAUGAACUUGUGGCUGGGGGUGAAAGGCCAAUCAAACCGGGAGAUAGCGUGGUUCUCCCCG